CAAGAAGGAGAGUGAUGGAGUGCUGCAUCAGAUGACCUGGCCUGAAUUGAAUUCCAGAACCACAUAGUUCAUGUCAGUUCUCACUGGACAUGCAUCUCAGUUAUCUGAACCAUGAGGGAUCAGGUGUGUGUAUGUGUGUGAAUGUGGACAUCUUCUUCCAUUAAACUCCCCUUAACCUGGA